rnacentral:rRNA from 1 species
CGGGACGGGUGAGUAAUGUCUGGGAAACUGCCUGAUGGAGGGGGAUAACUGCUGGAAACGGUAGCUAAUACCGCAUAACGUCGCAAGACCAAAGAGGGGGACCUUCGGGCCUCUUGCCAUCGGAUGUGCCCAGAUGGGGUUAGCUAGUAGGUGGGGUAACGGCUCACCUAGGCGACGAUCCCUAGCUGGUCUGAGAGGAUGGCCAGCCACACUGGAACUGAGACACGGUCCAG